ACAGCAGCAGCCGCGGUAAUACGUAGGUGGCAAGCGUUGUCCGGAAUUAUUGGGCGUAAAGGGCUCGCAGGCGGUUUCUUAAGUCUGAUGUGAAAGCCCCCGGCUCGACCGGGGAGGGUCAUUGGAAACUGGGAAACUUGAGUGCAGAAGAGGAGAGUGGAAUUCCACGUGCAGCGGUGAAAUGCGUAGAGAUGUGGAGGAACACCAGUGGCGAAGGCGACUCUCUGGUCUGUAACUGACGCUGAGGAGCGAAAGCGUGGGGAGCGAACAGGAUUAGAGACCCCGGUAGUCCCUGUCUCUUAUAA
rnacentral:rRNA from 1 species